AGUCGGGCAAGAUGUCGGCCUGCAAGCUUCAGGCUGCCUGAUAUGGUAUCUGCUCUUCUUUGACCACGGAUGUACUGGCACUGUUAAGAGCAUGAGACCAAGCGAGGUCAGGCAAUCUGCCUGGCCUUUUUUUUG
rnacentral:sRNA from 1 species